CCUACGGGAGGCAGCAGUGAGGAAUAUUGGUCAAUGGGAGAGAUCCUGAACCAGCCAAGCCGCGUGAGGGAAGACGGUCCUAUGGGUUGUAAACCUCUUUUGUCGGAGAACAAAACCCGGGACGUGUCCCGGACCGCGCGUACCCGAAGAAAAAGCAUCGGCUAACUCCGUGCCAGCAGCCGCGGUAAUACGGAGGAUCCGAGCGGUAUCCGGAUUUAUUGGGUUUAAAGGGUGCGUAGGCGGGCUUGUAAGUCAGCGGGGAAAGUCUGUGGCUCAACCAUAGAAUUGCCGUGGAAACUGGGAGGCUAGAGUUUGUUAGAGGCAGGCGGAAUGCGUGGUGUAGCGGUGAAAUGCUUAGAUAUAACGCAGAACCCCGAUUGCGAAGGCAGCCUACCGGGUCAUGACUGACGCUGAUGCACGAAAGCGUGGGGAGCAAACAGGAUUAGAUACCCUUGUAGUC
rnacentral:rRNA from 1 species